AGAAAACCAUCACUGAAAAUAAGUUUCUCGUUCUUGAAGAAUACAUUUGGAUGAUGAAAAGUAGCAAGAAUAGCAGAUUAACCACGGAUUCAAGGUUCCAGUUUUUUUCCUUCGUUGGUCAUUCACACUUGGAGGAGAUGAAUUAGUGCAUCUUCUAGACUAAGUUUUCUUAGCACUUGGAGAAUCUGGUAUAACAAAUAUUCAUGGGAGAACGGAAGGACAGUGGCUCUUACAUCCC
rnacentral:lncRNA from 1 species